rnacentral:lncRNA from 1 species
AGCAGCCCCCAGCAGCGGAGGGGAGCGCGGCAGCCCCCCCAGCCCGGCUCUGAGCCGUGUGGGCGGAGCGAGGAGCAGCACAGCAGCCGCCAUUUCACGGCACGGCCCGCAUGGAGCGGCCCCGUGGCAGAGCCUGGCUAUAAAAGACCCCCACGCGGGGACUGCAGGGCCCGCAGGGUGCCCGGGGCAGGCAGGACAUUGCUGAGGACGCCCCAUCGCAGGCAGUGUGCGGUCCGUCAGCCCAGCACCACUGAGGCUGCAGGGACAGAUGGCAUCAGUCGGCCAUCCCCAUCACUGAGCACCGCCUGGGGGCCGCCCGCACCCCCCACACACACACACACACUCCCAACAGGUGCUGCAGGCUGCCCAGGGUGGGCAGGCACUUCCUCAAGACACCCAGCAUCUCCUCCUCCACUUUCCAGCCUGGCAGAUGCAAGGAAUGGGAUGAGACAAAAAGCCUCUACAGCGGCCUCGCAGCCAUCCUAGGGGCUGGGGGGGGCAGCACAGCUCACUCCUCCCCACUGCUGCUUCCCCACCUCGCAGGAAGACCCCGCAGACACUCCGUCGUUCAGCAGCAACACGCGGAUGCAGCUCUGCCAGUCUGCAGGGCUCUGCACCCUCGGCUCUACAGAGAACGGCCGCACGGUGACCGUGGGGACGGAGGCGAUGCCGGUUGGGGUGCAGAGCUCAGCCAGGUCCUGCUGCAGGAGCCCACAGCAAUGGUGCUGCUCAGCGCCCUGCUCAGCUCUCUGCUCGC